GCUGGUAGGGUGUGUGGGAUGCACAAGAGUCUUCUAAGCUCUAAGGGCUAGGUUCGAAUCCUAGUGCCAGCGCCA
rnacentral:tRNA from 1 species